rnacentral:rRNA from 1 species
UACGAAGGGGGCUAGCGUUGCUCGGAAUCACUGGGCGUAAAGCGCACGUAGGCGGCUUUUUAAGUCAGGGGUGAAAUCCUGGAGCUCAACUCCAGAACUGCCUUUGAUACUGGGAAGCUUGAGUCCGGGAGAGGUGAGUGGAAUUCCUGGUGUAGCGGUGAAAUGCGCAGAUAUCAGGAAGAACACCCGUGGCGAAGGCGGCUCUCUGGUACGUGACUGACGCUGAGACGCGAAAGCGUGGGGAGCAAACAGG